AACGAACGCUGGCGGCAGGCCUAACACAUGCAAGUCGAGCGAGGACUUCGGUUCUAGCGGCGGACGGGUGAGUAACGCGUGGGAAUGUGCCCUUCUCUACGGAAUAGCCCUGGGAAACUGGGAGUAAUACCGUAUACGCCCUAUUGGGGAAAGAUUUAUCGGAGAAGGAUCAGCCCGCGUUGGAUUAGGUAGUUGGUGGGGUAAUGGCCUACCAAGCCGACGAUCCAUAGCUGGUUUGAGAGGAUGAUCAGCCACACUGGGACUGAGACACGGCCCAGACUCCUACGGGAGGCAGCAGUGGGGAAUCUUAGACAAUGGGGGCAACCCUGAUCUAGCCAUGCCGCGUGAGUGAUGAAGGCCUUAGGGUUGUAAAGCUCUUUCAGCUGGGAAGAUAAUGACGGGACCAGCAGAAGAAGCCCCGGCUAACUCCG
rnacentral:rRNA from 1 species